GCGGAAGGACAGCUUGCGCUUGCGCUGUCUGUUGAAGCCGCCCUCCAGCUCCGCGCUGCCGGGAGAUCCAGGGAUCAUGUUGGUCUGGAACCAAAAGCGGUGUCAGGGCCCUUCAGCGGCCACCUGCCCGGCCCAGCCUCUGCCUCCCUGCCAACUUGCCUCCUCAGAGCCAGAGCCAAAGAUGAGCAAGUCGAAGGGGAUGGCAGCCACCAUAUCAAUGAGGAACCAGCCCUUGAAGUAGUGGACAGCAAUGCGGCCAGGAUGGCUGACCACCUCCUCGUUGGCAUUGACAUAGGUGGUGCGGAAGUUGAUGAGGAUGUCCACAAUGAACAUGAUGUCCACGAUGAAGUCCACCACAGCCAGGGGCUGGCAGGCAUAGCCACAGUCGGGGGCCGGGGGGCCCUCCUCUGUCUCCUUCAGCAGGAAGGCGGCCGAGUAGGGUGUGAAGACAGCUGUGUAGAUGACCAGCAGCAGGAUGAGCCAGUCCCACACUGCCUUGAAGGGGCUGUAGUGGAGGAUGGUCCAGCGGUGGAUGCGUGGUGCCUGCAGCUUAUACUCUGGCAGCACAUCAGCUCCCAGGGACAGGACCUGGACAGGCAGGGAAGGCAGAGAGCAUGAGCCAGUGGCCUUUCGUAGGUCAAAGAAGAACUGAAAAAGAACCGGCCAGGGCCCCCACAGACAAGGGAGCAGAAGAGCCAGGACUGUGGGCCACGGGAGCCAUGGGAGAGGGGAAGCCUUGGCAAGAAAAAAACACUAUCCACCAAGGCCCAGAAGGCCUGGAGGAGAGCAAGCAGGGGCCAGCAGUGGAUGAGCAGAGCUGUGGACCCCACGGCUCCCAAACCGUCCUGCUUCUCAGAAGCCCUCUCCCUACCCAGCCCGGCCCCGGAGCCAGAGCCCACCAGGCCGCACCCCACUUGCCACCACCUAUCUCUCAGUGCCCCAGCCCAGGGAGGGAGGAGGAGUAGCUGGGGUAGGGGGUCACCUACCUCCUGGGCUACCAGGCUGGAGAUGCGCACGGCCCGCCUCACCCGGCCUUUCUGGGCCCUGGGCUGCAGGGCCCCUGUCCUGCUUGCCUUCCCUGCUGGGGCCGCCAUGGAGGACUUGGUUCCCCCCAGCCUGCCUGCCCUGGUGCCCGAGGGCCCGGCCAGCGCCUCACCUGCACCCCAGCAGCAGUCCCAGCCCAGUCUGCGCCCCAGAGGCUGGCGGCCUGGCUUCCAGGGCAGCCUCUGGCAUGAAGCCAGGGUCACUGGGGCUGGGCCCCGGGGCCGGGGUCACCCUGGCAGUGAG